GACGAACGCUGGCGGCGUGCUUAACACAUGCAAGUCGAACGGAAAGGCCCUGCUUUUGUGGGGUGCUCGAGUGGCGAACGGGUGAGUAACACGUGAGUAACCUGCCCUUGACUUUGGGAUAACUUCAGGAAACUGGGGCUAAUACCGGAUAGGAGCUCCUGCUGCAUGGUGGGGGUUGGAAAGUUUCGGCGGUUGGGGAUGGACUCGCGGCUUAUCAGCUUGUUGGUGGGGUAGUGGCUUACCAAGGCUUUGACGGGUAGCCGGCCUGAGAGGGUGACCGGCCACAAGGGGACUGAGAUACGGCCCAGACUCCUACGGGGGGCAGCAGUGGGGAAUUUUGCACAAUGGGCGGAAGCCUGAUGCAGCAACGCCGCGUGCGGGAUGACGGCCUUCGGGGUGUAAACCGCUUUCGCCUGUGACGAAGCGUGAGUGACGGUAAUGGGUAAAGAAGCACCGGCUAACUACGUG
rnacentral:rRNA from 1 species